AUUGAACGCUGGCGGAAUGCUUUACACAUGCAAGUCGAACGGCAGCACGGGGCAACCUGGUGGCGAGUGGCGAACGGGUGAGUAAUACAUCGGAACGUGCCCAAUCGUGGGGGAUAACGUAGCGAAAGUUACGCUAAUACCGCAUACGAUCUACGGAUGAAAGCGGGGGAUCGCAAGACCUCGCGCGAAUGGAGCGGCCGAUGUCAGAUUAGGUAGUUGGUGGGGUAAAGGCUCACCAAGCCAACGAUCUGUAGCUGGUCUGAGAGGACGACCAGCCACACUGGAACUGAGACACGGUCCAGACUCCUACGGGAGGCAGCAGUGGGGAAUUUUGGACAAUGGGCGCAAGCCUGAUCCAGCCAUUCCCGCGUGCAGGAUGAAGGCCUUCGGUUGUAAACUGCUUUGUACGGAACGAACGGUACUGCCCUAAUACGGCGGGCUAAUGACGGUACCGUAAGAAUAAGCAACCGGCUAACUACGUGCCAGCAGCCGCGGUAAGCUACG
rnacentral:rRNA from 1 species